rnacentral:lncRNA from 1 species
GGUCACCCUGAGCUGAUUGCUAAUCGAUAACAGUGUGAGGUACAGAGGGCUGCCACCCCGCUGCAUAGUUGGGCGCCAGUUCAAAUAAUUUCUUUACCAUAAUCAAUGUGCAUUGUGAUUGUAUGUGUGUUUGUACUCUGUCUUGACUUUAUGCUAAUGUCCCGAUGCUUAUUCUUUGUAGAAAAUGUCCUUUGCUGUGCAACUUUUAUUUACUUUUCGC